UGUUGAAAUUGUUCCCAAGGGUACAUUGAGCUGGGGUAGCCGUACAUCUUCCUCUACGUCAAAUCCAUGGGGUUCCUCAACACACUCUCCAAAUGCUGAUGGUGGAUCAAGCUCACCAAGUCAUCUUAGAUCACGCCCUUCAUCUGGGAGUGGCACUCGACCUUCAACUGCUGGUAGUGAUAGAACACAAGAACCUACAACUAGUGCAUGGGGUACCAGUUCUAGGCCUUUG
rnacentral:misc_RNA from 1 species